rnacentral:misc_RNA from 1 species
AACAUCGCGCACCUGCGGGAACCUGCGGAGGGAUCGUUACAGAGUUGCAAAACUCCCUAAACCAUUGUGAACGUUACCUAAACCGUUGCUUCGGCGGGCGGCCCGGGUCCUUCCCGGCGCCCCUCGGCCCUCGCGGGCGCCCGCCGGAGGUAAACCAAACUAUUGCAUUGUAUGGCCUCUCUGAGUCUUCUGUACUGAAUAAGUCAAAACUUUUAACAACGGAUCUCAGAUCGGAAGAGC